AUUGUUGUUGAAUGUUAAAGAUCAUAUUUUAGUUCUUGAACACCAACUGAUUACAGCUGAAGAAAAAAAGACUUUGCUGGCCAGAUACACUGUCAAGGAAACACAGACUCCAUUGAUCCACUCGGUCGAAGUACUCCAUUUGUUCACUGGAUUCUUGCUUGAUUUCCAGAAAGCAUUUUGCUCCUCAAUCGGUUGUUGCUUGAUUCAACAGAGAAAUGAACACCCCUUAUAUUGUUGAUGAGUUUUCAAUGU